rnacentral:rRNA from 1 species
GUAGGGAAUAUUGGGCAAUGGAAGGAAUUCUGACCCAGCCAUGCCGCGUGCAGGAAUACAGUCCUAUGGACUUUAAACUGCUUUUAUUAUAGAGUAACCUGGGGGACGUGUCCCCCACUGCAAGUAUAUAAUGAAUAAGCAUCGGCUAACUCCGUGCCAGCAGCCGCGGUAAUACGGGGGAUGCAAGCGUUAUCCGGAUUUAUUGGGUUUAAAGGGUGCGCAGGCUGAUCGGUAAGUCAUGGGUGAAAAGUCACUGCUUAACAGUGAUCGUGCCUAUGAUACUGCCGGACUAGAGUUUAAGAGGUGUAACUGGAAUGUGAUGUGUAGCGGUGAAAUGCUUAGAUAUGUCACAGAACGCCAAUCGUGAAGACAGGUUACAAACUUAAUACUGACGCUCAUGCACGAAAGCGUGGGGAUCAAACAGGAUUAGAAACCCGGGUAGUCC